rnacentral:rRNA from 1 species
AUUGAACGCCGGCGGAAUGCUUUACACAUGCAAGUCGAACGGCAGCACGGACUUCGGUCUGGUGGCGAGUGGCGAACGGGUGAGUAAUGUAUCGGAACGUGCACAGUCGUGGGGGAUAACGUAGUGAAAAUUACGCUAAUACCGCAUACGAUCUAUGGAUGAAAGCGGGGGAUCGCAAGACCCCGCGCGAUUGUAGCGGCCGAUAUCCGAUUAGGUAGUUGGUGGGGUAAAGGCCCACCAAGCCAACGAUCUGUAGCUGGUCUGAGAGGACGACCAGCCACACUGGAACUGAGACACGGUCCAGACUCCUACGGGAGGCAGCAGUGGGGAAUUUUGGACAAUGGACGCAAGUCUGAUCCAGCCAUUCCGCGUGCAGGAUGAAGGCCCUCGGGUUGUAAACUGCUUUUGUACGGAACGAAAAGGUCUCUCUUAAUACGGGGGACUCAUGACGGUACCGUAAGAAUAAGCACCGGCUAACUACGUGCCAGCAGCCGCCGUAA